CCCUUAGAUGUUCUGGGCCGCACGCGUGCUACACUGAGUGGAUCAGCGGGUCAGGUUGCGCGAAAGUGUUUCCUAAUCUUGAAAUCCGCUCGUGAUGGGGAUUGACGGUUGCAAUUUUCUGUCAUGAACGAGGAAUACCUUGUAAGCGCGGGUCAUCAUCCCGCGCUGAAUACGUCCCUGCCCUUUGUACACACCGCCCGUCGCUCCUACCGAUUGAGUGGUCCGGUGAGGCUUUGGGAUCUGGAUGGAAAGAGCGUUUCGCUGUUUCUGCCCGGAAAACUCGGUCGAACCUUAUCAUUUAGAGGAAGGAGAAGUCGUAACA
rnacentral:rRNA from 1 species